ACCUUCUCCAAGCAAAUAAUCAUCACUCAAAAAGAAAAUAUGCACGCUUGAAACAUGUGUUCUUGAAGACAUAAACAACUAAAUCCAUCCCUUCCACUUCCAAUCAUCCUCGUGUCUUCCGUAAAUUAAUGCUUUCUCUUUUCCAAUUUCUGAUUCAUCAAACUUUUUAUGUUUUCAAAUGCUUCGGUGAAUCGAUUCACUACAUCUGACAUCAAUUGGGAAGCUAUUUCCAGUGUAUUUUUAUAGUCUAUAAAUAUUGAGAGCAUCACAAUUCAUUCUCCAACAAACCCCUAACCAUUGAAACUCCGACGGCGCUAUAAAAACCUCACCCUCCGCCGUUUUCUCCGAUCAAAUCACAACGGCGGCUCAUCCUUCUGUCCUCCUUCUCUCAAGCUCAAGAGCGGUGGUGGCUCUCUUCAUCUUCUCCGGCGAUCUCAACCUUCGUUUCAUCUUCUCUCCUUCCGAUUCGCUAACUGUGGCGGCGGUAGAUGAUUCACAAUUUGGGAAUUGAUGAUGAUGUUGCUUGUGUUUUUGAGGAUUGAUGAUGAUGUUGCUUGCGUUUUUUUAAACUGAUGAUUCACGUUGUUGAUGUUGAACGGUCCGGUCGUUCGUUGAGAUCUGCAGAAAUGGGUUAGAUCUUUCUGAUUUUGUUGUUCUUUCUUAAUCUCUCUUCCUAGAGCUUAUCCUUUCCAUGAAAUUGAACCCAAGUGGCAGCGGUUUGGGAGCAACACAGCACUUUCAGAACCCCCGAUGAUGAUAUCAAUAUGUCAAAACCUAAAUAUUACAUUCUUGAUAUGUUCCCUUACCUUAGGUUUUGAAUUGUAGUUACUUCGAUUAUUCUAUUUUUCGAUUCAUAUUGAGAAUUACAAUGAAAUUUAGAUUAUGAUUUGUGCUUUUUUGUUGUUGUGGUGGAGCUGGUUUACAUGUUGGACAUCCGCUUGGAUACACUGUCACGGAUACUCUAGCUAGCUUGCAUCCAAUGGAGUGGGAUGCUUUUUGGAUUACCUGCAGAACAAUAUGCAAUUGAGACAGGAACUCACCCGAAGCUCACCACAGUGACGAAUAUUGAUCGAUUUACCUCUCAGGAAACUGAUGACAAAACCUCUUCGGAAAGAAAUGAUAUGGGAUGAAGGUGUGAUGUGAUUGAUACUAAGACUCUGCAUGAUUGGAUUUGUGGCGAAUUUGACGGAAUAGCAGCAAGCUACUGUGAUUUUGCAAAAAUUAUAGAGUGUAUCUUAUACAAAACUAUGGUGGCAAAUCCGUGAUACGAAACACGCACUGUCUGUUAGGAAAUCAAAGAGAUGAGUCUCUAAUUUCUCAUUGUUUUCAUUCUACUUCACUUUAAGAGUAGAUUCAAUUUUGUAGCUGUUAUGUUAUUUUUCUUUAAAAACAA